rnacentral:tRNA from 1 species
GCCCUGAUAGUAUAAACACUACACUGG